rnacentral:rRNA from 1 species
UAGGGAAUCUUCCACAAUGGACGCAAGUCUGAUGGAGCAACGCCGCGUGAGUGAAGAAGGUCUUCGGAUCGUAAAGCUCUGUUGUUGGUGAAGAAGGAUAGAGGCAGUAACUGGUCUUUAUUUGACGGUAAUCAACCAGAAAGUCACAGCUAACUACGUGCCAGCAGCCGCGGUAAUACGUAGGUGGCAAGCGUUGUCCGGAUUUAUUGGGCGUAAAGCGAGCGCAGGCGGAAUGAUAAGUCUGAUGUGAAAGCCCACGGCUCAACCGUGGAACUGCAUCGGAAACUGUCAUUCUUGAGUGCAGAAGAGGAGAGUGGAACUCCAUGUGUAGCGGUGGAAUGCGUAGAUAUAUGGAAGAACACCAGUGGCGAAGGCGGCUCUCUGGUCUGCAACUGACGCUGAGGCUCGAAAGCAUGGGUAGCGAACAGGAUUAGAUACCCUGGUAGUCCAUGCCGUAAACGAUGAGCGCUAGGUGUUGGGGACUUUCCGGUCCUCAGUGCCGCAGCAAACGCAUUAAGCGCUCCGCCUGGGGAGUACGACCGCAAGGUUGAAAC